UGAAACUCCCCUCUCUAUUAAAAAUACAAAAUUAGCUGGGCGUGUUGGCAAGUACCUGUAAUCUCAACUACUCAGGAGGCUGAGGCAGGAGAAUCAUUUGAACCCGGGAGGCAGAGAUUGCAGUGAGCCCAGUGAGUGGAGAUUGUGCCAUUGCACUCCAGCCUGGGCAAAAAAAAGUGAAACUCUGUCUCAAAAAAAUAAAAAAUUAAAAUUAAAUUAAAAAAGUAAAAAGCUGUACAUUUGUAAGGCUUAACGUCAAGCAAUUUUUAAAGCACGAAAUGUAGAGCAAACUCCCUUCCCCUACCCCGCCCCCAGCCCUUCAUUUCCUUCCAUAGUGACAGCCACUGCUGUCAAUGUCUCAUAAAUCUUUCUAGAGAUAUUGUAAGCCUAAUGAAGCAUAAAUAUAAGAUAUGCAUUUUAAAUGCAAAAAAAGUUCAUUUUUGUUUUACAUUUUACAGUGUGUAAUGCUUUUAUUUUACAGUAUAUAAUAAUAACAGCUAACACUGAUAUAGCAUUUACCAUGUGCUGGGAGAACUGACAUCCUGAUGGAAAUCUGCCCCAAACCAAGGGCCAGGUAUUAGCCACAUCUUUACUGCCUUCUUUAGGACAUCAAACCUACCCCACAUUUAACGAGGUCAGCAUUUCCCAAAGUAUGGUAGGUGCAAUGAUUUUACAUGGUAAAGAGUGAGCAUUUGUUAUUUCAGUAGUUAAAACCAUAUUUUAAUAUAUAAGAAAAAUAAAACAAGGAUGACAUGAAAUCCUGUGGUGUCCCAUGAUUUCCAAGUUGCUUCCAUUAUUGAAGCUGAGUUUGUUGGGGGUCCGCUCAUGGCUGUCUCUGAACAGAAGGUAACCAGGAACUCUCACUUCUGAUCCAUCUCUAUUGUUGUCUUUCCUCCAGGUAGCUAUGGGCACAUCCUUCCAUAGACCCUCCAGGAGCAUCCGCUUCCAGUCCUGCCUGGGCACUGAACGUGCUCCUUCCUCAGAUGGGCUGGGGUUCAAUAAUAUUCCAUUGUGUGUAUUUGCCACGUUUUGUUUAUCCAUUCAUCCACCGAUGGACACAGUUGUGUUCGCCUCUUGGCUACUGUGAGUAGUGCUGCUCCUCCAUCCUUUUUAAAGGCUGCACGGUGUUCUGUGGAUAGAGUAGUGUGGUUAGGAGCACAGGCUCUGUAGCCAGAGGGACGCAGGUUUGAAUACUGCCUCCACCCUGAGGACACAUUGUGGGAUCUUGGGCACACAGUAAGUGUUUCAA
rnacentral:lncRNA from 1 species